AGUUUUUGUAUUGGAAGGGCUCGUCGCCAG
rnacentral:piRNA from 1 species